UGUCUCUGAGGGUGGGGCUGCAGGUCUGCUGAGGGAAAUGGGAGUUGCAUAGACAUCUACAGACUGCCAGGUGUUUCACUCUGCUAUGUUAAGUCAUCUUGACAUACCGCCAUGAAAUGGAAACAACUGCUAGUUUUAACAUUGCUCCAUAUCUUUAUUAAAAGAGUCAUCAAUCUCUUCAGAGUCAUCUUACCAUCUGUACCAGCAUUGCUCCAGGCUUCCAUAUGAAAGUCCAAUCUGGCGGUAUAAAUACCGGAUAAUGAAGAGUGGGUGUUAAAGUUUCUGACUGGUUGGAAGAUGACACUGGCAGAGUCUUUACUCUGCACACCACUGCUGACCCCAGAAAUGACCCACAGGAACUACUGGCGAAAGGAGUGAAAAG